rnacentral:rRNA from 1 species
AAGUAAGACUAAUGCCCAAUGACGUCUCUAGAAGACAUCUGAAGGAGAUUAAAGAUUUAUCGGUGAUGGAUGGGGAUGCGUCUGAUUAGCUUGUUGGCGGGGUAACGGCCCACCAAGGCGACGAUCAGUAGGGGUUCUGAGAGGAAGGUCCCCCACAUUGGAACUGAGACACGGUCCAAACUCCUACGGGAGGCAGCAGUGAGGAAUAUUGGUCAAUGGGCGAGAGCCUGAACCAGCCAAGUAGCGUGCAGGAUGACGGCCCUAUGGGUUGUAAACUGCUUUUAUAAGGGAAUAAAGUGAGUCUCGUGAGACUUUUUGCAUGUACCUUAUGAAUAAGGACCGGCUAAUUCCGUGCCAGCAGCCGCGGUAAUACGGAAGGUCCGGGCGUUAUCCGGAUUUAUUGGGUUUAAAGGGAGCGUAGGCCGGAGAUUAAGCGUGUUGUGAAAUGUAGACGCUCAACGUCUGCACUGCAGCGCGAACUGGUUUCCUUGAGUACGCACAAAGUGGGCGGAAUUCGUGGUGUAGCGGUGAAAUGCUUAGAUAUCACGAAGAACUCCGAUUGCGAAGGCAGCUCACUGGAGCGCAACUGACGCUGAAGCUCGAAAGUGCGGGUAUCGAACAGGAUUAGAUACCCUGGUAGUCCGCACGGUAAACGAUGGA